rnacentral:lncRNA from 1 species
ACUGUCUUCCAUUGCUGCUUUAAAUCAUCUCUAGAUCACUUAUAAUACCUAAUACAAUGUAAAUGCUAUAUAGUUGUUACAUUGCAUUAAGGUAAUAAUGACAAAGAAAAAAAAUCUAUACAUAUUCACUACAGACAUAACCAUCUUUUUCCCCCAAAUAUUUUCAAUCUGUGACAGGAUGACUCCAUGGAUACAGAACCCACAGAUACAGCAGGCCAACUGUAUAUGAAGAGUGGAAACUGAAACCAACAUAGAACAUAUUAUUAUGUGCUAUUCCAGACCGCACCAGCAGCAAAAUAUAUGGCAUAUGUACUCUCCCUGCCUUCCUAAAAUCCCAGAAUUCUGAAUUGUUAAUCAUAUCAUUUCAGAUGUGAACUGAGGAAUCUGGUCCACACCUCCUUUUUGCCUAUUGGAAACAAAAAGGUAAAACAACUUCUUCAAGGUCAUAAACAUCUCAAAUAAAAAAGGAGAAAUGAAUUUUCUGGCCCUUCCUCGGUACUAAACUACUGUAAUACUUUCAAGAAUAUCCAGUCCUGAAUCUGUAUUAAACAAGCAAAUCCAGAAGGCCUCAUCAAGUACAAGGUAUUUUUUUUAAAACCCUGUAAAUCCAAUUUAAUCACAUACGCACUUCUCUGACAUCCAAGUGUUUGUGUGUAAUCUGCACAAAUUCCAUUGAUAUUUUGUACUUGAUCCAAAACUAUGGAAAUGUCAAUGUUUCACUAAUUUUUAAACAAAAAUUCACUCUUCAUUAUUUCACCUACAAUGGAAUAUUAACUAGCAACGCAUUUAAAUAUUUCCUAGGAAGAAAAUCUGUCCAAGUCUGCCAAUAAACCAUAGGGAAAUACACAGGUAUGUAGAAACGUCUGGAUUUUCAUAAUUACACGGGAGAUUAUUGGGCAAAAAACUAAAAUGAAAGGUCAGGUUACAAAUGAGACUAAAGCGAGGGAGAGAAAGGACAGAAGAAAAAAUAAAGAGACACGGUGGGCAGCAGGCCUCUGGAGAGGAGGGUAGCACUGCUA